AAGUCGUAACAAGGUUUCCGUAGGUGAACCUGCGGAAGGAUCAUUACUAAUUUAAUAGUCAUUUGACUAUUCAGUUUUAUAAACUGGUCAUCAUUCACGUUAAUUUAUAGGAUUAUAAAUUAACAAUGGUUUUUGGGUGUUUUUGAUACUAAAAAUACCCACAUCAGUGGUAUAGUACUAUCCACUCUAAAUAUUUGUACUAUGAAAUCAAAUUAACCAUUAAGCCAUGAUUAUGAUUGUUGUUGAAUAAACAAAAUAACUUUUAACAAUGGAUCUCUUGGCUCUU
rnacentral:misc_RNA from 1 species